AUUGAACGCUGGCGGCAGGCCUAACACAUGCAAGUCGAGCGGUAGAGAGAAGCUUGCUUCUCUUGAGAGCGGCGGACGGGUGAGUAAUGCCUAGGAAUCUGCCUAGUGGUGGGGGAUAACGUUCGGAAACGGACGCUAAUACCGCAUACGUCCUACGGGAGAAAGCGGGGGAUCUUCGGACCUCGCGCCAUUAGAUGAGCCUAGGUCGGAUUAGCUAGUUGGUGAGGUAAUGGCUCACCAAGGCGACGAUCCGUAACUGGCCUGAGAGGAUGAUCAGUCACACUGGAACUGAGACACGGUCCAGACUCCUACGGGAGGCAGCAGUGGGGAAUAUUGGACAAUGGGCGAAAGCCUGAUCCAGCCGUGCCGCGUGUGUGAAGAAGGUCUUCGGAUUGUAAAGCACUUUAAGUUGGGAGGAAGUGCAGUAACCUAAUACGUUAUUGUUUUGACGUUACCGACAGAAUAAGCACCGGCUAACUUCGUGCCAGCAGCCGCCGUAACAC
rnacentral:rRNA from 1 species